rnacentral:rRNA from 1 species
GACGAACGCUGGCGGCGUGCUUAACACAUGCAAGUCGAACGGAAAGGCCCUGCUUUUGUGCGGUGCUCGAGUGGCGAACGGGUGAGUAACACGUGUGUAACCUGCCCUUGACUUUGGGGUAACUUCAGGGAACUGGGGCUACUACCGGAUAGGAGCUCCUGCUGCAUGGUGGGGGUUGGAAAGUUUCGGCGGUUGGGGAUGGACUCGCGGGUUAUCAGCUUGUUGGUGGGGUAGUGGCUUACCAAGGCAGUGACGGGUAGCCCGCCUGGGAGGGUGACCGGCCACAUUGGUCCUGCGAUACGGCGCAGUGUCCUACGGUAGGCAGCAGGGGGGAAUAUGGCACAAUGGUCGGAAGCCUGAGGCAGCGACGCCGCGUGCGUGAUGACGUCCUUCGGGUUGUAAACCGCUUUCGCCUGUGACGAAGCGUGAGUGACGGUAAUGGAUAAAGAAGCACCGGCUAACUACGUG